UCUAAUUUAAAUAUUUUUUUUUAUGAGUAUCAACUUUCAAAUGUAAAGUGUUAUUCUAUCGUUUACCUUUAAGGAU